rnacentral:rRNA from 1 species
UACGAAGGGGGCUAGCGUUGUUCGGAUUUACUGGGCGUAAAGCGCGUGUAGGCGGGCCUGUAAGUUGGGGGUGAAAUCCCGAGGCUCAACCUCGGAACUGCCUCCAAAACUACAGGCCUGGACCCAAGGAGAGGCGAGUGGAAUUCCGAGUGUAGAGGUGAAAUUCGUAGAUAUUCGGAGGAACACCAGUGGCGAAGGCGACUCGCUGGACUUGUGGUGACGCUGAGACGCGAAAGCGUGGGGAGCAAACAGG